CUGGGCAGGAGUGCUCAAAAGCUCCUGUGCCAGCAGCAGAGGUUAGGGGUCUCUAGAGUGGGGACUACUUGUGUUGAUGCUGUGAGUAUUAACCUCUGACAGUUCAGAUUCAGGCACUAAAGGAAAUGAGAGAAGCACAAGCAAACAGAUACAGAAGAAGGAGGAAAGACAGAGAUUUGCAAAGAGCUGAGGUCACAGAGCGAGCCACCAGUAUGAGGACAUAUUGGUGGCCACAGGGAACCAGGGAGUCUCUGGAGACCUGAGAGAUGAAGCCUGUGUCUUUCCCCACCACACUUACAGCAGCAUUGCAGCAGUGAAGGUCCCAGUACAGCCUGCCAGUGAACAGCACUACUGCCCCCCUAUGGACAGUCAAGUAAAUGUCAUAGAAAAAGGACCUCCUCUUUAGAGAUUUGCAUAUUUAAAUGAAUAGAAAGAUUACAUUGUCUUAAAAUGAAUCUGUGGGUCUGGACAACAUUACUGAGAGAAACACCAACCUGUCCAACAUUACUACAAAAAACUGGGUUGGGGAGUAAGUAGAGGAUCAUACAGUACCACUGGAAGGGGGAAGUACUCCUUUAUGUAGUCAAAAGUACUAAUGUCACACCAUGAAAGUAUUCUGUUACAAGUAAAACUCCUACACUGACAUGUGA